rnacentral:rRNA from 1 species
UCAAACGAGAGUUUGAUCCUGGCUCAGAAUCAACGCUGGCGGCGUGCCUAACACAUGCAAGUCGCACGAGAAAGGGGCUUCGGCCCUGAGUAAAGUGGCGCACGGGUGAGUAACACGUGACUAACCUACCCUCGAGUGGGGAAU